UACGAAGGGGGCUAGCGUUGUUCGGAAUUACUGGGCGUAAAGCGCGUGUAGGCGGGUCUUUAAGUCAGGGGUGAAAUGCCAGGGCUCAACCUUGGAACUGCCUUUGAUACUGGAGACCUUGAGUCCGGGAGAGGUGAGUGGAACUGCGAGUGUAGAGGUGAAAUUCGUAGAUAUUCGCAAGAACACCAGUGGCGAAGGCGGCUCACUGGCCCGGUACUGACGCUGAGGUGCGAAAGCGUGGGGAGCAAACAGG
rnacentral:rRNA from 1 species